CCUCUAAUUCCGGUGAUCCUGGCUCGAGGACGCGCCGCCACUCCGUCUCUGGCCUCGAGGAAGCGCGCCUUUUGCCUCCGGUUCGGUCGCCGAGAACCGCGCCGCCCCUCCCAGCCGCCGCUCCGUCGCCGACGUCGAGCACCUGUCCCGUGCGCCGCUCCGAAACUUCCAUCGUCCAGCACGUGGCAGCUAACUCCCCGUCCUGCAUCUUUUAUCCUAACCUGUAAGUCUGUUCAAGUACGGCGCCAAUUUCGGAGUAUCCUCAGGCCCGAGAGAGAUGGACUUGGAGGAGGCAAGUUAUGGGUGACGAGAGGACUAAGAUUUUGUCAGAAUUACUAGUUCAACAUAAUGGUACGCUUUACAAAUUUUCUUAGAGCUAUGUGCCCUUCGACAAUUUAGCAAAUUAUUGCAGCAUGUGCAUCUUGUAGAAUGUAGAUGAAGUGUACAAGUGUAGCAAAUUUCCAACUGUUGCAUUACUCCUCACCUUCAGAAAUAAGCGGUCUGAUACCA